CUAAGAUAACAUCUUCGANAAGAGCUAAAAGGACGCGCCGUAACCUUGACCGUGAUAAUGUAGCAUAAUCACUCGCCAUUUAAUUGAUGGAUAGUAUGAAUGGUUGAACGAAUAUUCCACUGUCUUAGAAAUAAUUAAAAGAAAUUGAAAUAAUAGUCAAGAUGCUAUUUAAAACUGUAAGACGAAAAGACCCUAUAGAGCUUAACUAUAAUUUCUAUAUAACAAUCAAAAUAGUAUUUUAAAAUUUAUAGAGAUUGGUAGUUUAGUUGGGGCGACUGUCUUCUAAAUAAAACGAAGACAAGCAAUAUUAAUAUUUAAUUUAUUGUAUAACUAAAUAGUUUAACAAUUACAAAAGUAGGCUAUAAUGACCCGUUAGACCCUUGAAAUAGGCCUAACGAUCAAUUAAUAAAAGCUACCUUAGGGAUAACAGGAUNNUUUCAUUUUAGAGUCCCAAUCGAAAAUGAAGUUUGUCACCUCUAUGUUGAAUUAAGAUAUCCUGAUAAUGCAGAAGUUAUCAAAGGUAGGUCUGUUCGACCUUUAAAAUCUUACAUGAUUUGAGUUCAUUCCGU
rnacentral:rRNA from 1 species